rnacentral:antisense_RNA from 1 species
UUAGUAUGUCCGAGUCUAUCCCGGCAGGAAACUUUUGGCACGAAUUUCAAACAGUGAAAAGGAGAAAAAAAAUUAGGUCGGUCAGGUUAGGUGUCGGCGAUAAGAAAAGAGAUUGCGGGAGCAUCCCCAGCCUUCUUCUUUCCCCUUUUGCCGCCCCCAAACACUCCCCCCACGCGUCUAUCACGGAAACAACACAGAGGAGCGCACACGCAACACUCACACCUCCAACUAUUGACUGUUGUAUCAGGUGUUCUAACCGGGAUGUGACAGUUUAGGCUGGGAGCAGAAAUAAUCAACAUGCCCAUUAGAUACAGGAUGGAAUAAUGCUUCUACUGGUUGGGUCCCUUCGAGGUAAGCGGGUGUAUUGAGCGGGGAAACUUGGGAUCUGAGAAUGGAUCAAAGUUACUUUCUUUCUUAUUUUUCGUCCUACUAGUUUUCUUUAAGAAUCUUGGUUUGUACAUAUAAGUUAGCGCCAGCCCACAAAUAAACUGGUAGGAGUAAGGGCUAUAUACCUUUCCACACCUUAAAACCAUCUGCUCAGUUUGACAUUUAAAAGGGCGGAGAGCAGAGAAGGAGGAGGGGGGAGUAGGGGGAAGAAAGGAGGCAGGGACAGAGAAAAAGAUUCAAACGCGAAAAAAAUGGCUUGCACUUUAGCCCACAAGUUUGUGUCAAUUGCACAUAGCGCUUGAAUGCACGUUUUGCACACACCACGCCCGGGAACUGGCGGCGGGAAAAGUUCCAUGAGAACCCCAGUAAGUCCUGUGUCACGCCGUGGGGAAAAGCAGGCCUGAGUCGAAGUCGGGGUAACCCGCUUGGCGAACAAGGAAGCUCUCCCACCCCCAGCCUCGGCGGCAGAGGCUCCCGGCUCGCGACGCUCUGCCGCGGCGGUUCGCAGCCCGCAUUAGGGCUCAGGAGCGGCGACUUGAAAUAGGAGCGCGCGCGACGCUAGGCGAGCGAGAUCGGUUCGCAGCCCAGCUCCGUGAGCUGCCUCGGCGCAGCCCUGUCCCGUGUCCUGUCCUCUACUGUCGGGGAGGCGUACAGGCCAGGCUCCUGGCAACCUCUCUUGCUAGAGCUGCGGCAUUCUCCUGGGUCUCGGGCGGCCCUGGAGCAAGACUUGAGGCCCGAGCCCCCUAUCUCGGGCGACUCCCGCUUUGUUUUCUGAUAGGGGAGAAGCCUGGAGACAAGGAGUCGCCUAGAUAUUGGCUCCAUCUCUGAAACCAGCCGCCAAGCCUAGGGUUAAGACAACUCCUCCCUCCGCCCCACUUCCAACACAACCCCAGUAACUUAGAAGUUAACGCAAGUUCUGACCGGUCUUGUAACAAACUCUGUCCGUGCAGGUUGCAUUUACUUAUUUAUCUGAAGGGUGAUCUGCGUGUUCUUAGACAAACUCGCAGUUAUCACUCAUGCAUCUGGUUCUGGGUUAAAUACACUUCGCCUUGACAUUUGCUCGGUGUAUGCUCACGCCUCCUGUUCUUUCUUAAAGCGGUUAGGUGGGGGCAGGAGGGAAGACAGUGUGUAUAAGUAAUUUAAAACCUUACAAACAACUGUUAUCAGAUCCUAAACAAACCAAUUCUGAGAAUUACAACCAGAUUCAGUUGAGAGGCAAAAGUGGACGUGGAUUUUGGAGAAGGAUGCCUAAGGACUUCCAGGUCAGCCACCCACCACUACCACCACCACCACCACCGCCACCACCGCCACCACUACCACCAUCACUAUCAGCACCCUGAAGAAGGGAAGAGAGGAAAACCAACCCCAGGGUGCAGGCCUGCCUGCUGCAAGCUUUCUAGAGGCAAAACUGCCUGACGGCCUCUCACUCUCAUCUCCUGUGCUCAGUGUGACGCCAAGCCCAACCUGGAUUUGUUCUGAAUGGGGGGGAAGUGAAAUGCCACAAGAUCAGUAGCAAGUAGCAGCUGCAGCGUUUUCUCUCCUGGGAACCCCACUGCUUAGAAGCCUCCUGAGUGAUGUUUGUUUAACCAACAGCUUUCAAAGUAAACAGAAGCCAAUCACUCCAAAGAAGUUGAAAUAUAACCCUUACAAGAAUUUGGAUCCAGGGGUGCUGGCAGAAAGAAAGUAAUUUUUAAAAUGAUAAAGAACCCACUCCCAAAUAAGAGUCUGCCACAUUGCUUUAAGGAGAGCAGAAUUGUCAUGAAAAUAUAAUUUCAUCGAAAGGGCUCAUUACAAUAAGUUGACCUCGAAGAAAAUCACUCUUCGCCCACCAAGACACACCCGCGGGGAUGAGGAGGUUGUCAGUGAUUGAAGGGACACACUACCACUUGAUUUUAUGGAAGUGGGCGAAAACAAUCAAAGGGAAGUACAUUCCCUGCCCUGGAGUAGUGAAGUGUAGGCUGGGAGCUCUUCGCCGCCAACCCUGGCUUUGCCUCAGGCACCGAACUUUCCAAUACCAAGAUAUUAACAGAUGGUGGUGAGCACAUGGAGGGCUGCUACUUACAUAAUCCAGCCACUCCGCCCGGCUGCCCAGAGCCCGGCGAGGAACCCGCCAGGCCGCGCGCGCGCCUUCCGAGGGGUGCUCCCUGACAUAACUUGCCUUUCUCCAACCCCACCCAGCGUUUUGAGGGUUAGCAUUUGAAGAGGCCGUGAUUUAAAAAACCAAACAAAACCAAAAACACCCAAAACAUUGA